CUGUGUUGAGGACAAAGAACAACGAUCUUCUUCAUUCCUGCUUCUGCCUUGCAAGCUUCAGGCAAAUUCUGCUUUCGCCCGAAUGUAAAAAAGACUGAGGAACUAGCGACUACCCCAUGCCCUCGGGAAUGCCAGUCUAGUCUGUGGCCUGCUGGUGGUUUGAGCCGACUGGUACAGAGCCGUGUCAGUGCCAGAGACCUCCCCGUGGUUGGAAAGAUGAGAUCCAGCACCGUCUCCCAGCUUGGUGUGAGGCUGAGCAUGGCCCUGGAGGAUGCAGAUGUCUUUGGACAGGGGCUCAAAUUGACAGUGAUUAAGAAGUGCUGCGUGCUGAGUGUCCCCAUGUCCCCUCGGAGCCUCCAGAGGGAUGUUGGUGUGGUCUCCUGGCAGCAGAAGGUGCGAAGCAAGUCCCCACUGCAGACGCUUGGGAUUUUGAGCAAAAUCCACAGGGGUUUUGCAACACUUUUUUCGCUGCACUUCUCAGGAUUUUUUUCCUUCCUUUUCUCGACCCGUGCAGCAUCUCUGCCACGUGUGGAUCCCAGCUGGGCUGGAGCAGUACGAGCGUUCGGGAGCCUGAGUUUAGUAUUUGAGGGCCUUGCAGGAGAAGCAGAGGAGCUAGCUGGGGUCUUGGUCUCUGGAGCCGUUUUGGUGCAACGCGACGGUGGCGUGGAUGGUCCCGGCGAGCUGAGAGCAGUAUAA
rnacentral:lncRNA from 1 species